GCCGGAAAUCGACAAGGUGUCAUGGUUGCCAAGUGGAAGCAGACGCUCGGCGAUAGAGAGGAGAGAGUUUGUUUUGCAACAAUUUGAAAGAUUUAACAAAAAAGAAAAGUAACUGUAAUUACAGGAUGGACAUGCACUUAAAGCCACAUACCCACAAAGAAACAUAUAUAUCAAUGUUUACAUUUUGAGCUUUUUACAGUUUUCGGACUUGAUGCAUACCUAACAGAUUGAUGUGAGUCAGAAACUGAAAGAAAAUGUGUAUUUAUGAAAGUAUACGAGGAAUU